rnacentral:ncRNA from 1 species
ACUAUUAAUAGGUAACAAAAUUGCUUCUUAUAAAUUCCUAAAAUAAUAAGAAAACAACCUCAAAAAACCUUAUAUAUAAAAACUUGGCUCUGAUUUAAUAAUAUAAUAUUUAACUAAAAAAAACACAUGGUUUUUUUUGAAAAAAGCGAGGUUAAAAAGAAACUAAAAACAGUAUAAAACCAGUUAUAAUCUUCUUUUUAAGGUAUUAUAAUAUAUACAAAAUGCCCCGAAAUGUCCCGCUAACCCCAGUGUUGAAGCUUAAUUAAAAAGCGAAAGCUUGUAUUAGUUUAGUUAAUUAAAUUUGGUCAACUUGGUGCCAGCAUCCGCGGUUAAACCAAGAAAUUAAAUUAUAUCAAACCGGUAAAAAUAUAGUUAAGCAUCAUAAUCAAUUUAGCGCUUCUUGACUAUUUAUAAAAAAGUAAAAUUUAAAUAUAAAUAAAUAAUCCAAUAGCAGCCAAGUUAUGCUGAAUCUAUGAUAGCCUUGAGGGAAACUGGGAUUAGAUACCCCACUAUUCUUGGCUGUAAACUAAUAAUACUUACCAGGGUACUACGAAUUCCACAAUUUAAAACUCAAAGAGCUUGGCGGUGUUUUAGACCUCUCAGGGGAACCUGUCUCAUAAUCGAUAAUCCACGUUACACCUAACCUUUAUUUGCAAUCAACCUGUAUACCGUUGUCGUCAGGUAACUUUUUAGAAACUAGAAGUUAGCUAGAAGUCUUAAACUAUAACGUCAAAUCAAGGUGCAGUCAAUAUAGAGGCGAAGAUGGGUUACAAUUAUACAAUCAUAAUACGCAUAGUUAUAUAAAUAAAUAACUAUUAAGGCGGACUUGAAAGUAAACUAAAUUAUAUAAACAACUUGAAUUAGGCUCUGAAAUGUGUACACAUCGCCCGUCGCUCUUAUUGGAAAAUAAGAUAAGUCGUAACAUAGUAGGGGUAAUGGAAAUUGCCCCUAAACU